rnacentral:rRNA from 1 species
UCAAGUUAUUAAGGGUGUAGGGCGGAUGCCUUGGCACUAGGAGCCGAUGAAGGACGUGAUAAGCUGCGAUAAGCUUCGGGGAGUUGCACGUAAACUUUGAUCCGAAGAUUUCCGAAUGAGGAAACUCACUUAGAGUAAUGUCUAAGUAUCAUUAAGUGAAUACAUAGCUUAAUGAGGGGAACUCAGGGAACUGAAACAUCUAAGUACCUGAAGGAAGAGAAAGAAAUUCGAUUCCGUAAGUAGCGGCGAGCGAACGCGGAUUAGCCCAAACCAAUAAAGUUUUCUUUGUUGGGGUUGCGGACAUAUCAUAACGAAGAGGUAUCGUAAUUGAAGAGGUUUGGAAAGACCCACCACAGAAGGUAAUAGUCCUGUAUGUUAAACGAGAAGACUUUAGAUAUGAUCCAGAGUACCACGGGACACGUGAAACCCUGUGGGAAGCAGGAGGGACCACCCUCCAAGGCUAAAUACUACCUAGUGACCGAUAGCGUAUAGUACCGUGAGGGAAAGGUGAAAAGAACCCCGGGAGGGGAGUGAAAUAGAACCUGAAACCCUGCACUUACAAGCUGUGGAAGCACAUUUCUUGUGUGACCGCGUACUUUUUGUAGAACGGGCCAACGAGUUACGUUAAGUAGCAAGGUUAAGCACUUAAGGUGUGGAGCCGUAGCGAAAGCGAGUUUUAACUGAGCGUUCAGUUACUUGACGUAGACCCGAAACCGGGCGACCUACCCAUGAGCAGGAUGAAGCGAAAGUAAAAUUUCGUGGAGGUCCGAACCCACGAGCGUUGAAAAGCUCGGGGAUGACUUGUGGGUAGCGGUGAAAUUCCAAUCGAGCCCGGAGAUAGCUGGUUCUCCCCGAAAUAGCUUUAGGGCUAGCCUCAAGGUGAGAGAUACGGAGGUAGAGCACUGAAUGUCAUAGGGGGUAUUGCACCUACCGAAGACUAUCAAACUCCGAAUGCCGUCAUCUUAUACUUGGGAGUCAGACUGUGGGUGAUAAGAUUCAUAGUCGAAAGGGCAACAGCCCAGAUCGUCAGCUAAGGUCCCUAAAUGUAAGUUAAGUGGUAAAGGAUGUGGGAUUGCACAGACAACCAGGAUGUUGGCUUAGAAGCAGCCACUCAUUCAAAGAGUGCGUAAUAGCUCACUGGUCGAGUGAUCCUGCGCCGAAGAUUUCCGGGGCUAAAACUUACUACCGAAGCUACGGCAUCAGUAAUGAUGGGUAGGGGAGCUUCCCAUACGGGUUGAAGCAUGACCGUAAGGACAUGUGGACAGUAUGGGAGUGAGAAUGUUGGCAUGAGUAGCGAGAUGUGGGUGAGAAUCCCACAGGCCGUAAACCCAAGGUUUCCAGGGGAAGGUUCGUCCGCCCUGGGUUAGUCGGGACCUAAGCUGAGGCCGGAAGGCGUAGGUGAUGGACAACAGGUUGAUAUUCCUGUACUACCGAUAACCAUUUGAGAGAUGGGAUGACACAGUAGGAUAAGCUAAGCACACUGUUGGUUAUGUGUGCCCAAGCAUUGAGGCAGUCAAAGUAGGCAAAUCCGCUUUGAUAAUGCUGGGAUGUGAUGGGGAGCGAAAUUUAGUAGCGAAGUAGCUGAUUUCACACUGUCAAGAAAAGUCUCUAUCGAGGUUAAAGGUACCCGUACCGCAAACCGACACAGGUGGGUGAGGAGAGUAUCCUAAGGCCAGCGAGAGAACUGUUGUUAAGGAACUCGGCAAAAUGACCCCGUAACUUAGGGAUAAGGGGUGCCACCAUCAGGUGGCCGCAGAGAAUAGGCCCAAGCGACUGUUUACCAAAAACAUAGGUUUCUGCUAAGUCGCAAGACGAUGUAUAGGAGCUGACGCCUGCCCGGUGCUGGAAGGUUAAGGGGAUCUGUUAGAGCAAUCGAAGCAGUGAACUUAAGCCCCAGUAAACGGCGGCCGUAACUAUAACGGUCCUAAGGUAGCGAAAUUCCUUGUCGGGUAAGUUCCGACCCGCACGAAAGGCGUAACGAUUUGGGCACUGUCUCAACAACAGACUCGGUGAAAUUGUAAUUCCGGUGAAGAUGCCGGAUACCUGCGACAGGACGGAAAGACCCCAUGGAGCUUUACUGUAGCUUGACAUUGGGUCUUGGUACUACAUGUACAGGAUAGGUGGGAGGCUUUGAAACCAGGACGCCAGUUUUGGCGGAGCCAUCCUUGGGAUACCACCCUUGUAGUACUGGGACUCUAACCAUAGGCCAUGAAUCUGGUCUUGGGACACUGUCAGGUGGGCAGUUUGACUGGGGCGGUCGCCUCCCAAAAGGUAACGGAGGCGCUCAAAGGUUCUCUCAGUACGGUCGGAAAUCGUACGUAGAGUGUAAAGGCAAAAGAGAGCUUGAUUGCAAGACAUACAGGUCGAGCAAGGAUGAAAAUCGGACUUAGUGAUCCGGUGGUUCUGCGUGGAAGGGCCAUCGCUCAACGGAUAAAAGCUACCCUGGGGAUAACAGGCUUAUCUCCCCCAAGAGUCCACAUCGACGGGGAGGUUUGGCACCUCGAUGUCGGCUCAUCACAUCCUGGGGCUGUAGUAGGUCCCAAGGGUUGGGCUGUUCGCCCAUUAAAGUGGUACGCGAGCUGGGUUCAGAACGUCGUGAGACAGUUCGGUCCCUAUCCGUCGCAGGCGUAGGAAAUUUGAGAAGACCUGUCCUUAGUACGAGAGGACCGGGAUGGACGUACCUCUGGUGUACCAGUUGUUCUGCCAAGGGCAUGGCUGGGUAGCUAUGUACGGAAUGGAUAAGCGCUGAAAGCAUCUAAGCGCGAAGCCAACUUCAAGAUAAGAUUUCCCACCGCAAGGGUAAGACCCCAGAAAGACUAUCUGGUUGAUAGGUCGAAGGUGUAAGUGCAGCAAUGUAUUUAGCUUAUCGAUACUAAUAGGUCGAGGACUUGACCAA